rnacentral:rRNA from 1 species
GAUGAACGCUGGCGGCGUGCCUAAUACAUGCAAGUCGAGCGAACGGACGAGAAGCUUGCUUCUCUGAUGUUAGCGGCGGACGGGUGAGUAACACGUGGAUAACCUACCUAUAAGACUGGGAUAACUUCGGGAAACCGGAGCUAAUACCGGAUAAUAUAUUGAACCGCAUGGUUCAAUAGUGAAAGACGGUCUUGCUGUCACUUAUAGAUGGAUCCGCGCUGCAUUAGCUAGUUGGUAAGGUAACGGCUUACCAAGGCAACGAUGCAUAGCCGACCUGAGAGGGUGAUCGGCCACACUGGAACUGAGACACGGUCCAGACUCCUACGGGAGGCAGCAGUAGGGAAUCUUCCGCAAUGGGCGAAAGCCUGACGGAGCAACGCCGCGUGAGUGAUGAAGGUCUUCGGAUCGUAAAACUCUGUUAUUAGGGAAGAACAUAUGUGUAAGUAACUGUGCACGUCUUGACGGUACCUAAUCAGAAAGCCACGGCUAACUACGUG